CCUACGGGUGGCAGCAGUGAGGAAUAUUGGUCAAUGGGCGGAAGCCUGAACCAGCCAAGUAGCGUGCAGGAUGACGGCCCUAUGGGUUGUAAACUGCUUUUAUGCGGGGAUAAAGUGAGGGACGUGUCCUUCAUUGCAGGUACCGCAUGAAUAAGGACCGGCUAAUUCCGUGCCAGCAGCCGCGGUAAUACGGAAGGUCCGGGCGUUAUCCGGAUUUAUUGGGUUUAAAGGGAGCGUAGGCCGUGGAUUAAGCGUGUUGUGAAAUGUAGACGCUCAACGUCUGACUUGCAGCGCGAACUGGUUCACUUGAGUAUGCGCAACGUAGGCGGAAUUCGUCGUGUAGCGGUGAAAUGCUUAGAUAUGACGAAGAACUCCGAUUGCGAAGGCAGCUUGUGGGAGCAUAACUGACGCUGAAGCUCGAAAGUGCGGGUAUCGAACAGGAUUAGAUACCCCUGUAGUC
rnacentral:rRNA from 1 species